ensembl:ncRNA lncRNA:CR44680 long non-coding RNA:CR44680
GUUUUAGAUGCAUGAAUUCUUAGUUAAGAUUUUUGUGAUAGAUUUGAAUAAAUUCAUAUCAGAACUUGACACCCAGCACUCACAGAGCAUCUUGAAUUCGACGAUGGCAGCUUUUCCGCAUUUCCCAUGGCCGCGUUAUGUGAGAAAGUAGCCGGCCAACGCCAACAGAUGGGCAAUAAAAUGGCCAGGCCCACAAGGUGCAUCUGGGAGGACGGGAUGGCAGGAGGACAUGACUUCAACCUGCCUGAACUUCAAAGUGGGGCGAUGUAGCCACCAGGCAGCAGGCACCUGCACUGGGUUAGCUCCCUUGCCUCCAAGCCGGCCGUGGCAUAGCAAAUCAUUUUGAAAUGAAUCAUAUAUCUCGGACCAUGACACGAAGACCCAGAGAUGAACUUGCGCCGGGGUGCUGGAAUGGGGCGUUGACUGCGUGCCGACAAUAAAACUGUGAAGAUGUAUAAAUCAAAGCGCUAGCGAUUAGCCGGGGGAAAAUCGUAUAAAAUAUGUUUUCAAUUUUCCCGCUGCCACACUGGAAUUGGAAUCCAAUUUAAUAGAUGGAUUGUCUCGCCUUUCCACCAAGCCUGCGCUGAACUUGACCCAAUGAUAUUUAGUUAGCCAGGCGACGACUCGGGCCAAGACAAAGGCAAUGUCGGCCAGGAAAGUGGCAAGUCAAAGGCAGUGGCAGUGGCAUCUGCAUUAUGGCAAUGCGGAGUAUUGUGUUGCCUCUUUCCCAUGUUGCCAGUUAGCCAGGUUGCCUGUUGCCGCUUGCCAGUUGCCAGUUGCCAGUUUGCCCAUUCGAGCUGACAAAUGACUAAGGUCGCCGCGCGUUUGCAGCACAAUUGGCCCGAUGGGGCGGUUUCUGUUUGGACGGGGCGGUAAGAAGGUCGUCGGAUCGUUGCAGUCGUCUUAGCCAGUUCCAACUCUGAUGCAUCACACACCGCUCGGCAGCUGCGGUUGCGCCGGACGCCAUCGAACACUUGAAAAUAAAUGAGAAUAAUAUUUAAAAAAUGAACUACUUUCAAGCACU